GUGUCAGCAGCCGCGGUAAUACGUAGGGGGCAAGCGUUGUCCGGAAUCAUUGGGCGUAAAGCGCGCGUAGGCGGCCUCACAAGUCCGCUGUAAAAGUCAAAGGCUCAACCUUUGAAUGCCAGUGGAAACUGUGAGGCUAGAGUCCGGAAGAGGCGAGUGGAACUCCUGGUGUAGCGGUGGAAUGCGCAGAUAUCAGGAAGAACACCAACGGCGAAGGCAGCUCGCUGGGACGGUACUGACGCUGAGGCGCGAAAGCGUGGGGAGCAAACAGGAUUAGAAACCCCUGUAGUCC
rnacentral:rRNA from 1 species